GACGAACGCUGGCGGCGUGCUUAACACAUGCAAGUCGAACGGAAAGGUCCUGCUUUUGUGGGGUGCUCGAGUGGCGAACGGGUGAGUAACACGUGAGUAAACUGCCCUUGUCUUUGUGAUAACUCUAGGAAACUGGGGCUAAUACCGGAUAGGAGCUCCUGCUGCAUGGUGGGGGUUGGAAAGUUUCGGCGGUUGGGGAUGGACUCGCGGCUUAUCAGCUUGUUGGUGGGGUAGUGGCUUACCAAGGUUUAGACGGAUAGGCGGCCUGAGAGGGUGAACGGGCACAUGAGGACUACGAGACGGCCCAGACGCGUACGGGAGGCAGUAGUGGGAAAUAUUGCACAAUGGGCGGAAGCCUGAUGCAGCAGCGCCGCGUGCGUGAUAACGGGUUUCUGGUUGUAAACCACUUUGGCAUGUGACGAAGCGUGAGUGACGGUAAUGGGUAAAGAAGCACCGGCUAACUACGUG
rnacentral:rRNA from 1 species